CUACGGGGGGCUGCAGUGGGGAAUAUUGCACAAUGGGCGAAAGCCUGAUGCAGCAACGCCGCGUGAGGGACGACGGCCUUCGGGUUGUAAACCUCUUUUAGCAGGGAAGAAGCGAAAGUGACGGUACCUGCAGAAAAAGCACCGGCUAACUACGGUGCCAGCAGCCGCGGUAAUACGUAGGGUGCAAGCGUUGUCCGGAAUUAUUGGGCGUAAAGAGCUCGUAGGCGGUUUGUCGCGUCUGCUGUGAAAAUCCGAGGCUCAACCUCGGACCUGCAGUGGGUACGGGCAAACUAGAGUGCGGUAGGGGAGAUUGGAAUUCCUGGUGUAGCGGUGGAAUGCGCUGAUAUCAGGAGGAACACCAAUGGCGAAGGCAGAUCUCUGGGCCGUAACUGACGCUGAGGAGCGAAAGCGUGGGGAGCGAACAGGAUUAGAUACCCGAGUAGUC
rnacentral:rRNA from 1 species